rnacentral:rRNA from 1 species
CUGCCAGUGGAACAGAACUAAACGGCCGCGGUAUCUUGACCGUGCAAAGGUAGCAUAAUCACUUGUCUUUUAAAUGAAGACUUGUAUGAACGGAAUAACCCUUCUUAACUGUCUCCCUUAUCCCCCUCUAAAACUCAUACUUAGGUGAAGAAUCCUAAAUAAAACAGAAAGACGAGAAGACCCUGUCGAGCUUCAGCUAAAAAAGAGUUUUAGAUAUUAUCUAUACAUCUUAUUAUAGCUUUGGUUGGGGCAACCGCGGAGAAUAAGAAUCCUCCGGAAACCGUGGAAGAACCCUCUUCUCCACCAACGACAAAAGGAACCAGGACCUGGUAAACGGAAAAAGCUACCGCAGGGAUAACAGCGUCAUCUCCUCCAAGAGUCCAUAUUGACGAGGAGGCUUGCGACCUCGAUGUUGGAUUGGGGCACCCACAGGGUGCAGAAGCUCUGAAAGGUCGGACUGUUCGUCCGUUAAAGCCCUACG